UACAGAGGGGGCGAGCGUUGUUCGGAAUUACUGGGCGUAAAGGGCGCGUAGGCGGCCUUCUAAGUCGAACGUGAAAUCCCCGGGCUCAACCCGGGAACUGCGUCCGAUACUGGGAGGCUUGAAUCCGGGAGAGGGAUGUGGAAUUCCAGGUGUAGCGGUGAAAUGCGUAGAUAUCUGGAGGAAUACCGGUGGCGAAGGCGGCAUCCUGGACCAACACUGACGCUGAGGAGCGAAAGCCAGGGGAGCAAACGGG
rnacentral:rRNA from 1 species